UACGUAGGGGGCAAGCGUUGUCCGGAAUCAUUGGGCGUAAAGCGCGUGUAGGCGGUUCGGUAAGUCUGCUGUGAAAGUCCAGGGCUCAACCCUGGGAUGCCGGUGGAUACUGUCGGACUAGAGUACGGAAGAGGCGAGUGGAAUUCCCGGUGUAGCGGUGAAAUGCGCAGAUAUCGGGAGGAACACCAAUUGCGAAGGCAGCUCGCUGGGACGUUACUGACGCUGAGACGCGAAAGCGUGGGGAGCAAACAGG
rnacentral:rRNA from 1 species